GCCGGAGUGGUGAAAUUGGUAGACGCACUGGACUCAAAAUCCAGCAGGGGCAACCCUAUGCCGGUUCGACCCCGGCCUCCGGCACCA
rnacentral:tRNA from 1 species